rnacentral:rRNA from 1 species
UUCCCUUCGGGGCACCGGUGACAGGUGGUGCAUGGUUGUCGUCAGCUCGUGUCGUGAGAUGUUGGGUUAAGUCCCGCAACGAGCGCAACCCUUACUGUUAGUUGCUACGCAAGAGCACUCUAGCAGGACCGCCGUUGACAAAACGGAGGAAGGUGGGGAUGAUGUCAAAUCAUCAUGCCCCUUAUGACCUGGGCCUCACACGUACUACAAUGGCCGUUAACAGAGGGAAGCAAGACCGCGAGGUGGAGCAAAACCCCAAAAACGGUCUCAGUUCGGAUCGUAGGCUGCAACCCGCCUGCGUGAAGUUGGAAUUGCUAGUAAUCGCGGAUCAGCAUGCCGCGGUGAAUACGUUCCCGGGCCUUGUACACACCGCCCGUCACACCAUGGGAGCCGGUAAUACCCGAAGUCAGUAGCCUAACCGUAAGGAGGGCGCUGCCGAAGGUAGGAUUGGCGACUGGGGUGAAGUCGUAACAAGGUAGCCGUAUCGGAAGGUGCGGCUGGAUC